UCUCCCUCCGCACACACGCCGCACGCUCCACACCCCGCCGUGGCCGGCUCGCCGCCCUCCCUUUCCUCUUCCGUCCGGCCUCCCCGCCCUUGGUCCACCCCCUCUGCGCGCUCGCCCACCCCGCCCAGCCCGGAUCUCUGUCAGCGGCCGGAAGGGAAACGCGAAGCCAGCGCGGCCGCGGGGGGAGUCCGUGUUGGAGUGCAAUGACGUGAUCUCGGCUCACCGCAACCUUUGCCUCGUGGGUUCAAGCAAUUCUCUUGCCUCAGCCUCUCAAGUAGCUGCGAAUACAGCUGUGCGCCACCACGCCUGGCUAAUUUUUGUAUUAUUAGUAGAGACGGGGGUUUCACCAUGUUGGCCGUGCUAGUCUCAAACUCCCGACAUCAGGUGACCCACCCACCUUGGCCUCCCAAAGUGCUGGGAUUACAGGCAUGAGCAACUGCGCCCAGCCUAGACGGAGUCUCGCUCUGUCACCCAAGCUGGAAUGCCGUGGCGCGAUCUUAGUUCACUGCAACCUCUGCCUCCUGGGUCCAAGCCAUUCUCCUGCC
rnacentral:antisense_RNA from 1 species